rnacentral:misc_RNA from 1 species
CACAUUCUUAUUCAUCCCCAA